GACGAACCGUGCGAACGUUGUUCGGAAUCACUGGGCUUAAAGGGCGCGUAGGCGGUCUGCCAAGUCCGGGGUGAAAGCCCCCAGCUCAACUGGGGAAGUGCCUUGGAUACUGGCGGACUCGAGGGAGGUAGGGGUCGUGGGAACUUCCGGUGGAGCGGUGAAAUGCGUUGAUAUCGGAAGGAACGCCGGUGGCGAAAGCGCACGACUGGACCUCUUCUGACGCUGAGGCGCGAAAGCCAGGGGAGCAAACGGG
rnacentral:rRNA from 1 species